AACGAACGCUGGCGGCGCGCCUAAUACAUGCAAGUCGAACGAGAAGCUGUAGCAAUACAGUUGUACAGUGGCGAACGGGUGAGGAAUACAUGGGUGACCUACCCUCGAGUGGGGAAUAACCAGCCGAAAGGUUGGCUAAUACCGCGUACGCUUCCCAGUCUACGGGUUGGGAAGGAAAGCGAUGCCGUGGGUAUCGCGCUCAAGGUUGGGCUCAUGUCCUAUCAGCUUGUUGGGGGGUAACGGCUCACCAAGGCAACGACGGGUAGCUGGUCUGAGAGGACGAUCAGCCACACUGGCACUGCGACACGGGCCAGACUCCUACGGGAGGCAGCAGUAAGGAAUAUUGCGCAAUGGGCGAAAGCCUGACGCAGCGACGCCGCGUGGGGGAUGAAGGUCUUCGGAUUGUAAACCCCUUUCGGGAGGGAAGAUGGAACGAGCAAUCGUUCGGACGGUACCUCCAGAAGCAGCCACGGCUAACUUCGUGCCAGCAGCCGACCGU
rnacentral:rRNA from 1 species